rnacentral:rRNA from 1 species
AAUGUAAAGCAUCAGCUCAUGCGUCGAUGAAUAAUGCAGCUAGCUGCGAGAAUUUAUGUGAAUUGCAGUACACAUUGAUCAUCGACACUUCAAACGCACUUGCGGCCCCAGGUUCCUCCCAGGCUAUGCUUGUCUGAGCAUCA